rnacentral:misc_RNA from 1 species
AGAACAUAUAUAUGUGAAUUUGAAGGACUCUUACAAAGAUUUUCUUUUGUGUGUUUGGAGAGGGAGAAAGGGUAAAGAUUAUAUAGAGAACGCGACAAGACUUGAACUUGUCAAAUAUUUUGAAAGUAACAGUUCUCAUUUCGCCGCGAGUCAAUCAGAUCGCGCGUGGGAAGGUAUUGGCCGUUUGUUUGAUGACACCUCAAACCUUCCAAUUUUGACCUUUAUUUCUCCUAUAUUAUAUAUAUAUAUAUUUUUUUAGGUUGGGCUGAGGAAAAAUGGCACACGAUAGGAAUCCUUGAAUUGCAAGGAUCAAAA